rnacentral:rRNA from 1 species
UAGAGUUUGAUCCUGGCUCAGAUUGAACGCUGGCGGCAUGCCUUACACAUGCAAGUCGAACGGCAGCACGGGAGCAAUCCUGGUGGCGAGUGGCGAACGGGUGAGUAAUACAUCGGAACGUGCCCUGUCGUGGGGGAUAACUAGUCGAAAGAUUAGCUAAUACCGCAUACGACCUGAGGGUGAAAGCGGGGGACCGUAAGGCCUCGCGCGAUAGGAGCGGCCGAUGUCUGAUUAGCUAGUUGGUGGGGUAAAGGCCCACCAAGGCGACGAUCAGUAGCUGGUCUGAGAGGACGAUCAGCCACACUGGGACUGAGACACGGCCCAGACUCCUACGGGAGGCAGCAGUGGGGAAUUUUGGACAAUGGGGGCAACCCUGAUCCAGCAAUGCCGCGUGUGUGAAGAAGGCCUUCGGGUUGUAAAGCACUUUUGUCCGGAAAGAAAUCCCCUGCUCUAAUACAGCGGGGGGAUGACGGUACCGGAAGAAUAAGCACCGGCUAACUACGUGCCAGCAGCCGCGGUAAUA